rnacentral:rRNA from 1 species
CGAAGGUGCAAGCGUUACUCGGAAUUACUGGGCGUAAAGCGUGCGUAGGUGGUUGUUUAAGUCUGUCGUGAAAGCCCUGGGCUCAACCUGGGAAUUGCGAUGGAAACUGGGCGACUAGAGUGUGGCAGAGGAUAGUGGAAUUCCUGGUGUAGCAGUGAAAUGCGUAGAGAUCAGGAGGAACAUCCGUGGCGAAGGCGACUGUCUGGGCCAACACUGACACUGAGGCACGAAAGCGUGGGAGCAAACAGGAUU